rnacentral:rRNA from 1 species
GACGAACGCUGGCGGCGUGCUUAACACAUGCAAGUCGAACGGAAAGGCCCUGCUUUUGUGGGGUGCUCGAGUGGCGAACGGGUGAGUAACACGUGAGUAACCUGCCCUUGACUUUGGGAUAACUUCAGGAAACUGGGGCUAAUACCGGAUAGGAGCUCCUGCUGCAUGGUGGGGGUUGGAAAGUUUCGGCGGUUGGGGAUGGACUCGCGGCUUAUCAGCUUGUUGGUGGGGUAGUGGCUUACCAAGGCUUUGACGGGUAGCCGGCCUGAGAGGGUGACCGGCCAAAUUGGGACUGAGAUCCGGCCCAGGCCCCUACGGGGGGAAGCAGUGGGAAAUUUUGCAAAAUGGGCGGAAGCCUGAUGCAGCAACGCCGGGGGGGGGAAGCGGGCCUUCGGGUUGUAAACCGCUUUCCCCUGUAACGAAGCGUGAGUGGCGGUAAUGGUAAAAGAAGCCGCGGCUAACUACGU